CAGAAAGUAGUUUAAUGAAAAUCCCAGCUUUGGGAGUUGGUGAUAGAGGUUCGAUCCCUUUCUUUCUGA